CCAGCCCACCAUGACCGACCAGCAAAAUCCCCGAACCUCUCAAAGCCCUAUUUCUUCAUCUUCAUCUAAAGUCACCGCCGAAACCAGCAACCCUAACACUAACUAUUCUGGCCAAAAAAUCCGCUACCCGAACCCAGCGGAAGCGUCAAACCCGGACCCGGCUACACUUCGAGAGCAAUGGAGGUUCGCGAUUAAGCAGUACAGUAGAUGGUACUCUAACGCCUGGGGCACCGCGAUUCUCGCGGGUUUAUCAUUCUAUGCUCUUGGUUGGAUUAUAAAGGGCCACAAUCCUCUCCCCUCUUUCAAGGGUGAUGAUGAUUCUCGCUCUCUUUCCGAUAAUCCUGAUCAUUCAAAGUGAACCUACCUCUGUAAUCAAUGUGGAUUAUGAUUCAGGAUUGACUCAUGGAUGCAUGACUUAUAUGCCAACAUAAUGGAGAAGAUACAGCUUUGUAUCCCAGAGUCUGACUACUGACAUUUCAACUUCUUUCUGGUGUACAGUCUCUGGGAAUGUUAUAUCAUAACUGAAGUUGUGAAGUAAUAAGGUUUAUUUGGGUAGAAAAAUUUGUUAAGUUAUCCUCGUUUUAGUUUGUUCUUCCCAAGAAUGGUGUUGUGGCUGAGCCAUGUGUUACCGUUGUAUUUCAAAAUGUCUUUUCUAAGUAAAAAAGGUAAAGGAUUUCAGAAACUAUAGUGAUGUUUACUUCAAUGGUGCUAAAGGUGUAAGGCAACUCAUUAAAUAUCAAAUAUAGUUAAUGCAGUGAUUGUGAUUUU